GAUUCGCCCGCCGCGCCCCGCGCCCGUCCCGCCGCCCCCGCCCGCUCCUACGGGAGGCAGCAGUGGGGAAUUUUGGACAAUGGGCGCAAGCCUGAUCCAGCUAUUCCGCGUGUGGGAUGAAGGCCCUCGGGUUGUAAACCACUUUUGUAGAGAACGAAAAGACACCUUCGAAUAAAGGGUGUUGCUGACGGUACUCUAAGAAUAAGCACCGGCUAACUACGUGCCAGCAGCCGCGGUAAUACA
rnacentral:rRNA from 1 species